AGCGUAUAUUAAAGGUGUUGCAGUUAAAAAGCUCGUAGUUGAAUUUCGGGAUCGAAUUGUUGGUCGUGCUUCGGUACGCACUGGCAUUAUCGGUUUCUACCUUCUGAAGAACCGCGAUGUCAUUAAUUUGGUGUCGUGGGGAAUCAGGACUGUUACUUUGAAAAAAUUAGAGUGUUUAAAGCAGGCUUACGCUUGAAUACAUUAGCAUGGAAUAAUGAAAUAGGACGUUUGAUUCUAUUUUGUUGGUUUCUAGGAUCGACGUAAUGAUUAAUAGGGAUAGUUGGGGGCAUUAGUAUUCAAUUGUCAGAGGUGAAAUUCUUGGAUUUAUUGAAGACUAACUACUGCGAAAGCAUUUGCCAAGGAUGUUUUCAUUAAUCAAGAACGAAAGUUAGGGGAUCGAAGACGAUCAGAUACCGUCGUAGUCUUAACCAUAAACUAUGCCGACUAGGGAUCGGAUGAUGUUAAUUUUAUAAUGACUCAUUC
rnacentral:rRNA from 1 species